UGUCGGUACUUAUAUCCCCAUUAAUCUAACGUUUGGAAAGACAAUCUAGCAUUUAGUUGUGUUUCUUCUUGAUAUAUUGCUAUACAGAAGCGACUACAUGCGUGGUGGAGGCGCUAAGUAAAUGUGGAUAGGUGAAGUUUAAAGACUGUAGAGAACGGUUGAGAGGAGAGGCGUGCAGUAAGGAACGAACAGUGCUCCUGGGACGCGAGCUUCUUGCCUCAUUUUGUAUUGCUGCAAGUGUUAGUGACCGACAAGGAUAUUUUUACACCGUCUGUCUAAAACGCCCACAAGGCAGGGCGAAGCAAGGCACGGAGGGAGGGAGGUGACGCCGAGAGAAGUCUGUAAUUAUCAAGAACUUCCAAGUCCAGACUCCACACACUGACCGCGGGAAACAACAUGGUGUGGGAGGCUCCUCACAACGGGAACAAAAAGAUGGGAUUUAGCCGUGAAGUUGUGCAAGUGGUGAUCAUUGCUGCUGCUGUGGUGAGCUGUGUGUCAGCCUCAAAGCCUCCCAAGUCAAAGGUUUUGAAGUGUGCUGUGUGCCGCAGCGUGGUGAGUGAGCUGCACGACGCCAUCCUGGAGGUUGAUCCCAGGAAAACCAUUGAUGUGGGCUCCUAUCGCAUUGAGGCUGAUGGAAAACAGAAGGUUUCAGCUGUGAAGUAUGCUGGCUCGGAGAUGCACAUGAUGGAAGUGAUGGAGACAGUGUGCAAGAGCAUGAAGGACUAUGCUCAGGCCAGACACAAGGAGACAGGACGCCUGGAGGCCAUCAAACUGGUGGUUGGUGGCAGCAUGAACCCACGCAUGGGGGAAUAUGAAAUGGUGCAGGACCCAGACCUCAACAAAGGCCUGGAGUUCCACUGUGAGGCAAUUCUUGAGGAGUUUGAGGAUGAAAUUGGGUCAUUCUUCAAGAGCAAUGGUGACAGCAAACUGUUUGACCUGCAGGAACAGUUUUGCAAUGAGGUGACAAGUUUGUGCUCAGGUGUCAAGGAUGAGUUAUAGUGCAAGAAAACAUGCAGCUGGAGACGCAGUCAUACCUGGAGGUGGUGGAAAAACUGGCUUCUGAAGCAAAGCACAAGAGAAUGCACUGCUGAAAGGGAAGAGACUGAAGCUGAAGGAAAGGAGGAGGUGCACACUCCAUGCUGUGUGUGACUGCAUCUGUAUGACCAUGUACACAAGUAUAAACUGACACAAGCAAUACUUUCACUUGCAAUAUGCAUACAAGAAAACAACAACCAGCAGCACCACAAAGAGGUCAGCUGGUGGUGAUGCAAAUGAGACCCUGCAAGACCAUACAAGUCCAUGUUAUUUCACCCACAAAAAAGCCUGGGAUAAACUCAAGUUUUUCCAUCUGCUGCCUGCACCUCUGAGCCACCUAAGUCAUCACCACACUCCUGCCAUGCUGCACCACAGCAUCACACCUGUCAUGUGUUGCUCACAGCACACAAAGCCACAUCUUAAUGAUAAAACUCAAACAUA